rnacentral:tRNA from 1 species
UUUUGCUUAGUUCAAAGAUUAGAGCAUCGCACUUGUAAUGUGAUGCUAAUCGGUUCGAUCUCGAUAGCAGACU